rnacentral:rRNA from 1 species
CGGUACAUCGGUGACAGGUGGUGCAUGGUUGUCGUCAGCUCGUGUCGUGAGAUGUUGGGUUAAGUCCCGCAACGAGCGCAACCCCUAUUGUUAGUUGCCAUCAUUCAGUUGGGCACUCUAGCGAGACUGCCGGUAAUAAACCGGAGGAAGGUGGGGAUGACGUCAAAUCAUCAUGCCCCUUAUGACCUGGGCUACACACGUGCUACAAUGGUUGGUACAACGAGUUGCGAGUCGGUGACGGCGAGCUAAUCUCUUAAAGCCAAUCUCAGUUCGGAUUGUAGGCUGCAACUCGCCUACAUGAAGUCGGAAUCGCUAGUAAUCGCGGAUCAGCACGCCGCGGUCGAAUACGUUCCCGGGCCUU